rnacentral:rRNA from 1 species
AGCUAGUUGGUGGGGUAAAAGCUCACCAAGGCGACGAUCUGUAGCGGGUCUGAGAGGAUGAUCCGCCACACUGGAACUGAGACACGGUCCAGACUCCUACGGGAGGCAGCAGUGGGGAAUUUUGGACAAUGGGGGCAACCCUGAUCCAGCCAUGCCGCGUGAGUGAAGAAGGCCUUCGGGUUGUAAAGCUCUUUCGGCCGGGAAGAAAUCGUAUCAGCUAAUACCUGGUGCGGAUGACGGUACCGGCAUAAGAAGCACCGGCUAACUACGUGCCAGCAGCCGCGGUAAUACGUAGGGUGCGAGCGUUAAUCGGAAUUACUGGGCGUAAAGCGUGCGCAGGCGGUUUUGUAAGACAGGCGUGAAAUCCCCGGGCUCAACCUGGGAACUGCGUUUGUGACUGCAAGGCUAGAGUACGGCAGAGGGGGGUGGAAUUCCACGUGUAGCAGUGAAAUGCGUAGAGAUGUGGAGGAACACCAAUGGCGAAGGCAGCCCCCUGGGUCGAUACUGACGCUCAUGCACGAAAGCGUGGGUAGCAAACAGGAUUAGAUACCCUGGUAGUCCACGCCCUAAACGAUGUCAACUAGGUGUUGGGAGGGUAAAACCUUUUAGUACCGGAGCUAACGCGUGAAGUUGACCGCCUGGGGAGUACGGCCGCAAGGUUAAAACUCAAAGGAAUUGACGGGGACCCGCACAAGCGGUGGAUGAUGUGGAUUAAUUCGAUGCAACGCGAAAAACCUUACCUACCCUUGACAUGUCAGGAACUUUCCAGAGAUGGAUUGGUGCUCGAAAGAGAACCUGAACACAGGUGCUGCAUGGCUGUCGUCAGCUCGUGUCGUGAGAUGUUGGGUUAAGUCCCGCAACGAGCGCAACCCUUGUCGUUAAUUGCCAUCAUUUAGUUGGGCACUUUAACGAGACUGCCGGUGACAAACCGGAGGAAGGUGGGGAUGACGUCAAGUCCUCAUGGCCCUUAUGGGUAGGGCUUCACACGUCAUACAAUGGUCGGUACAAAGGGUCGCCAAGCCGCGAGGUGGAGCUAAUCCCAGAAAGCCGAUCGUAGUCCGGAUUGCAGGCUGCAACUCGCCUGCAUGAAGUCGGAAUCGCUAGUAAUCGUGGAUCAGCAUGUCACGGUGAAUACGUUCCCGGGUCUUGUACACACCGCCCGUCACACCAUGGGAGCGGGUUCCGCCAGAAGUAGGUAGCCUAACCGCAAGGAGGGCGCUUACCACGGCGGGGUUCGUGACUGGGGUGAAGUCGGAACAAGGUAGCCGUAGGGGAACCUGCGGCUG